CCUUUUUGGCCCUCUGUAAUGCAUUCCUUCCUUACGAAAUCUAGCUAAGCCUCAGUUUGAUUGGAUUUCUUAUGCUUUCUUUUUCCUCUUUGUUAAUUCGUGACACAGCAUCCUGUGACCUAAUAUGUAAAUUAUAGUUGUGGUCAGAAUAGGAUUUUUCGAUAUAAGUACUGGAGCACAAUGAACAAGUUACAGAUCUCAGGCAGACUAACUUAUCAAAAUGUGGAAGAAGUACAUUGCCUUGCUUUUUAUUGCAUCAGUUGUACUGCAGACCACUGCUGCAGAUCCAGGUGCAACCACUAAUGAUGAUGAUGAUUCUCUGAAAACAGGAGGAAGGCGUACAUUCAAACACUGUAUUCGUAAUUGCUUUCAUAAAGAAGGAAGAAAAUUUUGCAUCUGGAACUGUGAAUGAGGAGAAUCUGACUUCAAAGAGAUUGAUCAUGUGCUUUAUGAAGACUAGAAAAUUCAGUUAGAGAAAAACCCAAGAGCAGUUCUUAAAACCCAUGCAUUGAAUAUUUGGGUGGGUUGGGGUUUCUGCACUAUAACUAUGAUGGUAUAACUUCAAGGAAUUAUGGAAGGGUUCUCCCAGUACUGAAAUAUUCUUUUUAAUGUAUUGUUUACUCCAUUAAUCAAACUCAGAACAAUUGUACUGUUA